ensembl:snoRNA small nucleolar RNA U13
AUCUUUCCAAGUUUCAUGCAAAUGAUGAAAGGUUUGUUCACGGCUUUCCGUGAAAGGCGCAGCCAACUUGUUACGACUGGUGCCUCAGACUUUCUGAUC